AUGCCGUUAUUCUCUGGCAGUUUGCUGUGCCAUCCAUAUUUGAGCUGAUACAACAGACCUAAAGGGGCCAGAUCUUGCUGGACCGCCCGUCCUUACUUAUCUGGCAGAGGAUUGAAAUAAGCUGACUCUCAGCACUCAAGAGGAAUCCAGCGAGGUGUGGUGAGGCAUCAGGAGACAUGGUCCAGUGGCCCUGCCCCUGUAAUUCUCUGGCAGCCUUUCACAAGAGGCUUCAAGGUGAGAAACCCCAUUCAACGGAAUGGGAUCUCCAUUCUUACACUUUGUCUGACCUGGCACUGGAUUGGAGAUGGGGAACCCAGAUUGUAAUGUUGAGGAAUCCCAGCAGGACAAGAUUCCACAAAUGAUGGGAUUUACAAGCAGAAAAUUUCACUGAUGAAGAGGUAAAAGCUAUGGAGUUGACACUUUUCAGCAAGUUGACCCUGGGAGAUGUUCGCAAGGGUGGCAAUGGCCAAUACCAGAGGACGUCAGCUUAAGGUCAGAGGAGGAAAUUUUACGGGAGAUGUUAGAG